rnacentral:rRNA from 1 species
GAUGAACGCUAGCGGCAGGCCUAAUACAUGCAAGUCGAACGGGCGGUAGCAAUACCGCUAGUGGCGCACGGGUGCGUAACGCGUAACCAACCUGCCCAGAUCUGGGGGAUAGCCCACCGAAAGGCGGAUUAAUACCGCAUAAACCCACAGUGUGGCAUCACAUAAUGGGUAAAGAUUUAUCGGAUCUGGAUGGGGUUGCGUAGCAUUAGCUAGUUGGCGGGGUAAUGGCCCACCAAGGCGACGAUGCUUAGGGGACCUGAGAGGGUGAUCCCCCACACUGGCACUGAGAUACGGGCCAGACUCCUACGGGAGGCAGCAGUAGGGAAUAUGGGGCAAUGGGCGAGAGCCUGACCCAGCCAUGCCGCGUGCCGGAUGAAGGCCUUCUGGGUUGUAAACGGCUUUUCUCAGGGAAGAAAACGGGGAUGCGUCCUCAACUGACGGUACCUGAGGAAUAAGCACCGGCUAACUCCGUG